rnacentral:misc_RNA from 1 species
UUGCCGGCAAAAACAAAACAAUGUCAGCUCCUCUUAAAUGUAUUAGCAGAACCUAGGACUAGCUUCAGUUUGAUAAUCCUAUCUAUGCUGUUGCUGUUGACCUUUGUGUGUUCAGCUUCUAAUGGUCUUUGGACUGUCUCUAUCAGGCAUACACUUUUAAGCUUGACCUCAAAUCAGGUAGGACUACCCGCUGAACUUAA